UACGUAGGGGGCGAGCGUUGUCCGGAUUUAUUGGGCGUAAAGCGCGCGUAGGCGGUUCGUUAAGUCGGAUGUGAAAAUCCGGGGCUCAACCCCGGACCUGCAUCCGAUACUGGCGGACUGGAGGCAGGCAGGGGAGAUCGGAAUUCCUGGUGUAGCGGUGAAAUGCGCAGAUAUCAGGAGGAACACCGGUGGCGAAGGCGGAUCUCUGGGCCUGUCCUGACGCUCAGGCGCGAAAGCUAGGGGAGCAAACAGG
rnacentral:rRNA from 1 species